AAAACAAAUUUUGCAACAAUUUAUUAAAAAUCGAUACCAUGCAAUAGGGGCAGGAGAGCAAUUCCUCAUGUACAUCGGAUUCUGGCAGUUCCGGUCUAAUUCGUAAGCGUUUGUGCACUAACGUGGUGGAAGAUGCUUUUCGGGGAGGCCGAAACCUCUCCGGAAAUAAAAGGGGGUAUUUGCUGCAUAAGAAAGAACAGAACCAUCAGACUGCUAGGAGUCACGUCUGGGAACAAGGGUGUGUGUCUCGUUAUUCAUGGGGAAGUUAAUUCCGAAAGAAAAGAUGUGAACCUACAGUAUCAGUGAGACGGAGGGUGACCUCUGUGGAUUAAUCUAGAAGACGGCGCACGCUCGGGAGUCACAGAGGGCCAUGGACGCACACUCUCACCUCCGACAGACCAGUACUUUGUGCCCUGCCUCUCCACCUGCUGAGCCUAAAGGCCUGUAAUCCUGCCUGAAACCGGGAGAGCUGGGUCCCAAAUCGCCCUCUUCUGGAGGGACUUGCCCUCCCUACCUAGGGACAAACUGCCCACAAAAGCUCCCUGCUUGUGGCCUGGGAAAGCAGUCGAAGACAGCCCAGAGCCUUGGGACCCUGCACCUGUGUGGGAGACUUGGAAGAAGCUCUUGGCUUCGGAUCAGCUCAGCUGUAGCCAUUGCAGUCACUUGGGAAGUGAACCAGUGUGCAGAAGAUC